GACGAACGCUGGCGGCGUGCUUAACACAUGCAAGUCGAACGAAGAGCGAUGGAAGCUUGCUUCUAUCAAUCUUAGUGGCGAACGGGUGAGUAACGCGUAAUCAACCUGCCCUUCAGAGGGGGACAACAGUUGGAAACGACUGCUAAUACCGCAUACGAUCCAAUCUCGGCAUCGGGACUGGAUGAAAGGUGGCCUCUAUUUAUAAGCUAUCACUGAAGGAGGGGAUUGCGCCUGAUUAGCUAGUUGGAGGGGUAACGGCCCACCAAGGCGAUGAUCAGUAGCCGGUCUGAGAGGAUGAACGGCCACAUUGGGACUGAGACACGGCCCAGAAUCCUACGGGAGGCAGCAGUGGGGAAUCUUCCGCAAUGGACGAAAGUCUGACGGAGCAACGCCGCGUGAGUGAUGACGGCCUUCGGGUUGUAAAGCUCUGUUAGUCGGGACGAAUGGUUCUUGUGCGAAUAGUGCGAGGAUUUGACGGUACCGGAAUAGAAAGCCACGGCUAACUACGUG
rnacentral:rRNA from 1 species